CAAAGGAAUUGACGGGGACCCGCACAAGCGGUGGAUGAUGUGGAUUAAUUCGAUGCGACGCGAAGAACCUUACCUACCCUUGACAUGUCCGGAACUUGCCAGAGAUGGCUUGGUGCCCGAAAGGGAAUCGGAACACAGGUGCUGCAUGGCUGUCGUCAGCUCGUGUCGUGAGAUGUUGGGUUAAGUCCCGCAACGAGCGCAACCCUUAUCAUUAGUUGCUACGCAAGGGCACUCUAAUGAGACUGCCGGUGACAAACCGGAGGAAGGUGGGGAUGACGUCAAGUCCUCAUGGCCUUUAUGACCAGGGCUACACACGUACUACAAUGGCCGGUACAAAGGGCAGCGACACAGCGAUGUGAAGCGAAUCCCGAAAAGCCGGUCUCAGUCCGGAUUGGAGUCUGCAACUCGACUCCAUGAAGUUGGAAUCGCUAGUAAUCGCGGAUCAGCACGCCGCGGUGAAUACGUUCCCGGGCCUU
rnacentral:rRNA from 1 species